rnacentral:rRNA from 1 species
UACGGGGGGAGCAAGCGUUAAUCGGAAUUACUGGGCGUAAAGGGUGCGUAGGCGGUGCAUUAGGUCUGUCGUGAAAUCCCCGGGCUCAACCUGGGAAUGGCGGCGUAAACCGGUGUACAAGAGUAUGGGAGAGGGUGGUGGAAUUACGCGUGUAGCGGUUAAAUGCGUAGAGAUUCGCAGGAACAUCAGUGGCGAAGGUGGCCACCUGUCACAAUACUGAAGCUGAGGUACGACAGCGUGGGGAGCAAACACG